rnacentral:rRNA from 1 species
UCGAGAAUCUUCGGCAAUGGGCGCAAGCCUGACCGAGCGACGCCGCGUGGAGGACGAAGGCCUUCGGGUUGUAAACUCCUGUCGAGGGGAAGGAAGGGGCCGCAAGGCCCUUGACCGCUCCCUGGAGGAAGCACGGGCUAAGUUCGUGCCAGCAGCCGCGGUAAGACGAACCGUGCGAACGUUAUUCGGAAUCACUGGGCUUAAAGCGCGUGUAGGCGGGGCGGUGCGUCGGUCGUUGAAAUCCCCCGGCUCAACCGGGGAAGUGGCGCCGAUACGAACGCCCUGGAGCGACGUAGGGGGAACUGGAACUUCCGGUGGAGCGGUGAAAUGCGUUGAGAUCGGAAGGAACGCCCGUGGCGAAAGCGAGUUCCUGGACGUCGGCUGACGCUGAGACGCGAAAGCCAGGGGAGCGAACG